rnacentral:rRNA from 1 species
AUUGAACGCUGGCGGCAUGCCUUACACAUGCAAGUCGAACGGCAGCACGGGUGCUUGCACCUGGUGGCGAGUGGUGAACGGGUGAGUAAUAUAUCGGAACGUACCUUAUUGUGGGGGAUAACGCAGCGAAAGCUGUGCUAAUACCGCAUAAUCCCUAAGGGGGAAAGCGGGGGACCGUAAGGCCUCGCGCAAUUAGAGCGGCCGAUACCUGAUUAGCUAGUUGGUGAGGUAAAGGCUCACCAAGGCAACGAUCAGUAGCUGGUCUGAGAGGACGAUCAGCCACACUGGGACUGAGACACGGCCCAGACUCCUACGGGAGGCAGCAGUGGGGAAUUUUGGACAACGGGGGCAACCCUGAUCCAGCAAUGCCGCGUGAGUGAAGAAGGCCUUCGGGUUGUAAAGCUCUUUUGUCAGGGAAGAAACAGCAGCUCUAACACAGUAUGCGAAUGACGGUACCUGAAGAAUAAGCACCGGCUAACUACGUGCCAGCCGCCGCGGUAA